CCUACGGGAGGCAGCAGUGAGGAAUAUUGGUCAAUGGGCGCGAGCCUGAACCAGCCAAGUCGCGUGAGGGAAGACAGUCCUAUGGGUUGUAAACCUCUUUUGUCGGGGAGUAAAAUACGCCACGCGUGGCGUUCCGUGAGUACCCGAAGAAAAAGCAUCGGCUAACUCCGUGCCAGCAGCCGCGGUAAUACGGAGGAUGCGAGCGUUAUCCGGAUUUAUUGGGUUUAAAGGGAGCGUAGGCGGAUGAAUAAGUCAGCGGUAAAAUUGUGGGGCUCAACCUUUCCGAGCCGUUGAAACUGUGUUACUUGAGUGAGCGCAAAGUACGUGGAAUGCGUGGUGUAGCGGUGAAAUGCUUAGAUAUCACGAAGAACUCCGAUCGCGAAGGCAGUAUACCGGCGCUCGACUGACGCUCAUGCACGAAAGUGUGGGUAUCGAACAGGAUUAGAUACCCGGGUAGUC
rnacentral:rRNA from 1 species